CCUGGGCCACGCCCACCGCCGCCCCCCAGGUGGCCCUGGGUGGAUAUGCUCGUUGGAUCCCUGCGUGUGGGAUGCCUGGCCCCAGAGUCCCAAACAAUGCCGGGUCCCGAUUUCUGUUAAUGCUGCAAAUAUGUUUUGGGCAUCCCCAAGGGAAAUGGUGUCUGACCCUACUGAAAAAUUUGCAAGAGUAACUGUGCCUGCGGACUGUAUCUUCUGGCCUUUCCCCUUCCCUCGUUCCUUUACGGGCUUUACCUCCCACUCUCCCUCCCUCUUCCCACUCCAAAUUUACCGCGACCAAUUCCAGGCCUUUGCAUUGGUCUGGAUGACAGAGAAGUGAUCUGGGCCAACGUGUCAGAAGAGGGCCGAACUCUUCCUCCCAGGACUAGUUCCUCUCUUCUAAAGACCAAGAUCUCCAAAGCUACUUACUGCCCUGUGGAGAGGCAGGCCUGCCACAGAAUCACCCCAGACUGGUACCCUUUGGUCCCAUUGCACUUAGUAAAAUAAAGGGCAUUAUUGGCCCAGGUAUUCCUGCUGCCCCCAUGCACUCCACGCCCCUUCAACAACCACAAGCUUUAUUUGAGGAAGGGAACCUCCAGAUUCACUCAGCGAAGCCAACAGGGUAACCGGAUUUGCACUCCUAUCUCCGUGGUCUCCCCACGCCUAAUUUACCAAGCAGGCUUAGGGCCUACAGUGUAACCCACGGGAAGGAGAACAGAGCAGCGGCAGGUCCCCUCACCUGCUGGCGUGUCUGUGGUGACAACUUCCUGUCUUCACGUUAGGCUCUAGUGCUGCCAACCUCCAAGGAAGGGUAACCUGUGGGUGUCAAAGUCUCUGAUAUCCUAAGUGUGACUAAA